GAGUUUGAUCCUGGCUCAGGACGAACGCUGGCGGCGUGCCUAAUACAUGCAAGUCGAACGCUUUUUCUUUCACCGGAGCUUGCUCCACCGAAAGAAAAAGAGUGGCGAACGGGUGAGUAACACGUGGGUAACCUGCCCAUCAGAAGGGGAUAACACUUGGAAACAGGUGCUAAUACCGUAUAACACUAUUUUCCGCAUGGAAGAAAGUUGAAAGGCGCUUUUGCGUCACUGAUGGAUGGACCCGCGGUGCAUUAGCUAGUUGGUGAGGUAACGGCUCACCAAGGCAACGAUGCAUAGCCGACCUGAGAGGGUGAUCGGCCACACUGGGACUGAGACACGGCCCAGACUCCUACGGGAGGCAGCAGU
rnacentral:rRNA from 1 species